CCUACGGGGGGCUGCAGUGGGGAAUAUUGGACAAUGGGGGCAACCCUGAUCCAGCCAUGCCGCGUGUGUGAAGAAGGCCCUCGGGUUGUAAAGCACUUUCAGUGAGGAAGAACGCCUGGUGGUUAAUACCCAUCAGGAAAGACAUCACUCACAGAAGAAGCACCGGCUAACUCCGUGCCAGCAGCCGCGGUAAUACGGAGGGUGCGAGCGUUAAUCGGAAUUACUGGGCGUAAAGCGCGCGUAGGUGGCUUGAUAAGCCGGUUGUGAAAGCCCCGGGCUCAACCUGGGAACGGCAUCCGGAACUGUCAAGCUAGAGUGCAGGAGAGGAAGGUAGAAUUCCCGGUGUAGCGGUGAAAUGCGUAGAGAUCGGGAGGAAUACCAGUGGCGAAGGCGGCCUUCUGGACUGACACUGACGCUGAGGUGCGAAAGCGUGGGUAGCAAACAGGAUUAGAUACCCGGGUAGUC
rnacentral:rRNA from 1 species